AUUGAACGCUGGCGGCAUGCCUUACACAUGCAAGUCGAACGGCAGCGGGGGAGAAGCUUGCUUUUCCUGCCGGCGAGUGGCGAACGGGUGAGUAAUACAUCGGAACGUGCCCUGUAGUGGGGGAUAACUAGUCGAAAGAUUAGCUAAUACCGCAUACGACCUGAGGGUGAAAGUGGGGGACCGCAAGGCCUCAUGCUAUAGGAGCGGCCGAUGUCUGAUUGGCUAGUUGGUGGGGUAAAGGCCUACCAAGGCGACGAUCAGUAGCUGGUCUGAGAGGACGAUCAGCCACACUGGGACUGAGACACGGCCCAGACUCCUACGGGAGGCAGCAGUGGGGAAUUUUGGACAAUGGGCGAAAGCCUGAUCCAGCAAUGCCGCGUGUGUGAAGAAGGCCUUCGGGUUGUAAAGCACGUUUGUCCGGAAAGAAAUGGCUCUGGUUAAUACCUGGGGUCGAUGACGGUACCGGAAGAAUAAGGACCGGCUAACUACGUGCCAGCCGCCGCUGUAA
rnacentral:rRNA from 1 species